ACCAGACUCCUACGGGAGGCAGCAGUGGGGAAUAUUGCACAAUGGGGGAAACCCUGAUGCAGCAACGCCGCGUGAGUGAAGAAGGUUUUCGGAUUGUAAAGCUCUGUUAGCAGGGAAGAGGAAGGACGGUACCUGCAGAGGAAGCCACGGCUAACUACGUGCCAGCAGCCGCGGUAAUACGUAGGGGGCAAGCGUUAUCCGGAUUUACUGGGUGUAAAGGGAGCGUAGACGGCAUAGCAAGUCUGAAGUGAAAGCCCAGGGCUCAACCAUGGGACUGCUUUGGAAACUGUUAAGCUAGAGUGCUGGAGAGGUAAGCGGAAUUCCUAGUGUAGCGGUGAAAUGCGUAGAUAUUAGGAAGAACACCAGUGGCGAAGGCGGCUUACUGGACAGUAACUGACGUUGAGGCUCGAAAGCGUGGGGAGCAAACAGGAUUAGAUACCCUCGUAGG
rnacentral:rRNA from 1 species